AAUGAUAUAAGAAAUGCGCGUAUUACAUUGAGCGAUUUCUUGUAAGAAGUUCCAGGAACUUCGCCUCUGUGACAGCAGAGAUAUUGGUGUUUCUUAGAUCACAGCCUCAAAACUAAGCUAUAUACUGAUGGGUAUAUAUAUAUAGAGAGAGAGAGAAAGAGAGAGAGAGAUAAUAAUGGUAAAAAUAUUUGCUAAUGGAAAGAGUCCGGUUCGAGCAAUGAAUAAGUAAAGAGAGUACUUAUUAAGAAGCACAAGAGGCGCAGUAUUUUUACGGCGAAUUAUUAUCAAUGGCAUGCCCCAUUGACUCAUUCCAUCAUAUCAGCGGUACAUGAUACAUUUGGCAAAUUUAACGCUCAAGUAAAUUUUACUGAGAUAAAAAAAAAAAUUAUAAUAAUAACAAAAGAAAUUCUUUAAAAAAAAAAAGAAGGGAAGAGAAAAUUCUAAGUCCUACCAAAUUGCUGUAUGUGGACUCGCCCUCUUUUACAUUUUUAAGGUUUGCUCUAGUGAACCUAUAACUUAUAUGAUUAAAUGAAUGUCUAGAGAUUUGGAAUACAUUUUGAACCUUUUCUGUCUGUGCACGAGAAUGUAUAUUCACUUGAUUUUCAUAGCAUGUUAAAUUGAUUAAAACUUUGAAAGUUACAGAAGCUGUAAAAAAAAAAAAAAACCAAAGAAAAAUAUGGGAAAAACAUGUAGCAAAACACAUCCUGUGACACAUGCUAUGGUAUGUACAGGGUGCUCAUAUGUUGAUCCUAAUAUCACGUUUAUGCGUGUGAAUUAUGGGGAAGGAUUUUUGAGUCAAUAUGAUGUAUGGGCUAAAGAAUGUGCUUUCCCUGAAAAAGAUAGUUUUAGUCACAGACAGUUAGAACAACUGAAACUUAAUUUAGAGACAAAGGAGAGAGAGAGAGACCCCUAAAACAAAGAGCGAAGUGCAGUUUUUGGCUGACUGGAAGGCAUUCGCUGAAUGGCAGAGCGAGGCACAUAAAAGAAAGAAAAAAUGUCAGGCAGGGCCCUCAUCUGUUUCUCAGUGUGCAAAAUUGCAAUUGAAACAUGACGGAGGCCUGAUUAGAAGUGCACCACCAGUCGUGAUCACGCCCAAAUCUGACUUUAGGCCCAGACAAUCUCAAUACCCUCUUAAAUCAGAAGCUAUUGAGGGAAUUAGGCCAGUAUUUAAUUCACUGCUGAAAGCAGGGGUCAUUGUCUCCUGUCCUGAUUCGUCAGUGCACACUCCAGUAUUAAAAGUGUGAGAAGCAAAAAAAAUAAAUAAAUCCUAGAACGUGAUGAAUGGAGAUUUGUACAAGAUUUGCAAGCAAUUAAUGCAGCAGUCAAACAGAGCACUCCAGACGUUCCAAAUUCUUACACUAUAUUAAGCCUGGUUCCAGCAAAUAGCGAAUGGUUUUCAGUCGUAGAUUUAGCUAAUGCGUUUUUUCAUUAUAUCUCUUGAUAAAGACAGUUUCGAUUUGCAUUUAUAUUUGACGGACGUCCUUACACUGUCACUCGCUUGUGUUAAGGGAAUUGAGAGUCACUAAUGAUAUACGACCAAAUGCUAAAAUGCACACUUUCUCCAGGGCACAUUGUGAAACUGACACCAUUAAAUUGUUACGGCAUCUCGCCUAAGAAGGCCACAAAGCCAGUCUCUCCAAAUUACAGUAUGUCCAAAAAGAAGUGAGAUUUUUAGGGCACUACAUCUCCACCAGUGGAAGGAAACUCUCCGCAGACAGAGUAUCUGCCAUUCAGAAGAUUCCCAAGCCUCUGACGAAGAAACAGGUUCUAUCUUUCCUAGAGGGAGAGACGGAGAACCACAUGAUUGUGCUGUACUGACUAACGAACUCUGCUCCCCUAGAGUCGGCCUGAAGGAUGUUCUACUGGAAAACCCAGAUUUGAUUCUUUUGUGGACAGAUCAGUGCCACGUGACCCAAAGACGGGUAAAAAUCGAGUGGGAUAUGCAGUAGUGACCACACACGAGACGGUCUGUCAGGAAGUCUCCCUUCAAACCUUUCAGCACAAGCAGCUGAACUGUAUGCCCCCAUAGAGGCAUGAAGACAUGCUGAGGGACAGUCAGUAAAUAUCUACACAGACAGUAGAUAUGCCUUUGGGGUAGUACAUGAUUUGGGGACAAUUUGGAAACACAGGAACUUCCUGAUGAGUUCAGGAAUACACAUAGCCCACCACAAACUAGUCUCUAGUCUCAAAACUAUUGCAGCAUGCAAAUGUGAUGCACACACUAACAAAUUAGACCCUGUUUUCCUAGGAAAUGCUCGAGCGGACAGUGCAGCAAAGCAAGCAGCUGCAUAUAUGGUCCCAAAACUCAAAAGAAAAUAAUCACUCAUUCUUUACAACUUUCAGACCUCCAAGCACAAGCUACAGACAAGGAAAAGGCUGUGUUGCGCAAAGCAGGCUGCACGGUUGUUGAUGGAGUUUGGCGGUGCCCCCAGGGCUGUCCUUGUUUUCAAAGUUGACGAUGGUCCCUGCCAAAAGCGGGAAUGAUGGCUGUGAUAAAGCACUGGUUUCUCUAAUUACUCGUAAAAAAUUUUUUUUACGAUGUUUGCGCAACUCAUAACGUGGGUUGAGGUUUGAAGUUAGAGAAGGCCACAUCCCUACGUCCAAACAGGACUCAGACAUGGUAGUGAUGAUGAAAAUCUCCAGUGAUAAUGGCACACCUUUUGUGAGCCAUGCCCUUAAGUAGGUGGGUGAAUAUUUGGGUAUUGAAUUAAAGCAGCACUGUGCAUAUCAUCCAGCUAGUGGUGGGGUGGUAGAGAGAGAAUAUGGGACACUAAAAAACAGACUGAGCAAAUGCUGUUCUGAAACAGGCUUAGGAUAGGCUUAGCCCCUUUGGGAUACUGUUUGGGAGACCUCCACACACAGGAAUUGGACCUGUGGCAGCUCCGCUUCCUGAUGCUGCAGCAUGUGAUGAUGCAAUGUUAAAUUACCGUGCAACGUUGUCCUCUGCUCUGCACUCUAUCUACAAGCAGGUAAAGGCAGCACUUCCAGCUCCAGCCACGGGCCCGCUGCAUGAUCUGAAGCCUGGAGAGUGGAUCGUGAUCAAGGAUUUCCGCAUGACCAGGUGGAACAAGCCACGGUGGUCUGGACCAUUCCAGGUUCUCUUUGUCACUCAUUCAGCAGUGAAAGUCAACCAAAGAGCCACAUGGAUGCGUGCGAGCCACUGCAGGAGAGUGCCAGCGCCGAGCACUGAGCUGGAGAAGACGGGACUGCAAUAGGAGAACUAGACCAUAAUUCUCUAUCAAGAGGCCUCUAGGAGGACCUACGCUCAAUAGCAACGAUCUGCAUACACACACACACGACACACUACACCCUGACACAUCAACACACCAAUCCCACGCGACUCCACGAUAGACAGUCUUAAGUGGUAUCUAGUACCCUUCGAAAUCACGGACAUGUAGUUUUUGGAGAAAAUGUUGACGACACGGAAACUGUACUCUUAGGAGGACUGAACUUCAUUAGUGCGUACUAUAUAGCCAUGUGACCAGGACAGAGGUUAGACGACGUGACUUUGCUACCUCACCUCUUACGCCCCAAAGCUCCCUGACCACAGACUACUGUUGCAGACAAGACACAAAUCAUUAGAUGUCGACCUGCACAUCCACUCAUACAUACAAACCUAUUCCUAAUCGUACACCCUUCUCCUGGAAUAGGUGGUAUCUGUUAGUAAGCCCGGUCAUAGAAAUAAACUUACAAAUCACUGGGACCGUUCCCGACAACACUAGGGGUCCGGGGGAUAGACCCUUAAGAUGGAAAGAUAAAUCAAAGUGCGAUAUUGAAGUUUAUUGGGUGGAAGACUUAUUGAUCAAUCACGCCAAUCACAUCGUUGCAGCAGAAAGAGUGCAUGACGCACACACUUUUACCCAAAUUUGGUAUCUAGCUGAUCGUGGUGACGGGACUAAGGCAAUAUGAUUUCUAUAGGUCCCACGUAAGCCCGCAAAGUUCUUUAGUAGACUAUUGCUGCAGAUUGGACGACAAUUAGUAGUUAAAAGCCUGUAUGCCAAGAUAUUGGCCGCCUCUGUAAACUGUUCUGUAUCACCUUUGGUCAUAAGAAUCAUUGUCAGCAGUGCUACCCACACAACGUCACACGUCCCCUCGUCACGCAGACACAUAAUGGUUAUUCUAUCAUUGAACACAUGCGGUCUGCGAUACACAACUCUCCGCAGACUAGUGAGACGGGGUUUGAUUGGCUGAACUCAGUACUCGGGGGAUGGGGCUCGUGGAUAGUCUGUCUGCCAAUAGGUGCAAUAAUUAUUCUUGUCUUGCUCAUUUUGCCUUGUAUUGCUUCUCUCGUUCGGAGCAGUCGCUCACGCUCGUUGAAAUCACUAAUGACCAAACGCUGAUGUUGACAAAGACUGAUUACGAUCCCUAUGAUGACCAACCUGACUUGUAUCCUAAACCUGACUGGGUAUCAGAUUCUCCCACCAACAAUGACGACCCAUUGACAUCCAUUUCACACCUAUUGUAAAUAUUCCUUUGACCAUGACGACUCUCAUUUCACAUUAAAAUGGGCUUGCUUGACGACAGGAUACUUUAUAUCUGCAAAAACAGCCUUAGUGCCUUCAUUACGUCUGUUUCAUGAUGAAUUCAGUUGAACCGUGAAAGGAUUCUGAAGUUCUGAUGUAAAACUUGUGGAGCUUGGCUGUGGGGAUUUGUGCUUAUUCAGCUACAAUAGCGAGGUCAGGUACUGAUGUUAGGUGAGGAGGCCUGAGAUGCAGUCAGUGUUCCAGUUUAUCCCAAAGGUGUUCAGUGGCAUUGAGGUCAAAGCUCUGUGCAGGAUACUUGAGUUCUUACACCGCAACCUUGGCACACCGUGUCUUCAUGGAGCUCACAUUGUGCAAAUGGGCAUUGUCAUAUUGAAACAAGUUUGGGCCUCUUAUUUCCAGUGAAGGGAAACUGUAACACUAGAGCAUAAAAAGACAUUCUAUACAAUUGUGUGUUCCCAACUUUGUGGUAACGGUUUGGUGAAGAACCACAUAUGGGAGUGGUGGUUAGGUGUCCAUAUACUUUUGGCCAUAGUGUAUUUCUCUUGCACCUUGACCCAUGGACUGUGCACAACAUCAGUGGGUUGAACGUUGCUGAAAUGGUUUUCAGUAGUCAACUGAAAUACCCGAGCUUUUAUGGAGACUUUAGCUAAUUUCUGUGAACAUUAACUGCUCCAGCCUACAUUAGUAUGUAGAGAGAGAGAGAGAGAGAGAGAGAGAGAGAGAGAGAGAGAGAGAGACUGGAGUAUAAAACACAAUGAUUCUAGAGAAACGGGGCAUUUGGGGAGAAAACUGCAUAAAAUUUCCUACAAAUCUGUCAAAUAAGCAUGUGACCUCACACCCAACGGUCACUUGGAACACCUGCAGACUCAUGCAAUUAUCCAAUCAGCCAGUUGUGUGGCAGCAGCACAAUGCAUACAAUCAUGCAGAUACAGUUCAAGAGCUUCAGUUAAUGUUCACAUCAAACAUCAGAAUGGUGAAAAUGUGAUCUCUGUGACCUUCAUAUUCUCCUGGGAUUUUCACACACAACAGUCUCUAGAGUUUACACAGAAUGGUGUGGAAAAACAACAUACACCCAGUGUUUUCGAGCUGACCAGGAGGCUCUGGUAACUCAAAUAAUCAUGGCUAGAACAAGUUGAACCUUGACAUAACCUGAUGUGGUCACUCCUGUCAGCCAAGAACAGGAACCGUUUUAUUUCUUCACUAAAUGAUGAAUUUCAGCUUCUGAGGAGUCUCAGUACAAGAGUAAACAUAGGAAAUGAUCAAAGACGUUUAUCCCUGCAGAAAAACAAUAAAAUUUGUCAGAAAAAUAACUGAUUGAACUGAGCUUUGUCUAUUUAGUACUGCCAUUCAGCAAAUACUGCUGAGAUUAUAAAUAAGCAAAUUUAAUUAAAUUGCUAUGCUUGACAUAUCAAUUGGACCAAUUGUAUCCACUGACAACUUUUGACUAAAACUCAAAUAUAUAUUUGGUUUAUUUAUUAAGUGAUCAAACAGUCCUAUCCAGAAGUAUUGGAACCGCCUGGCCAAUUCUAUUGUUUUCACUACACAUCGAAGAAAGGUCUUCAAUUUGUCACUCCAAAGAUGAACAUGAGAUGACAGAAGAAUUUCAUAUUUACAUCUAAAAGGUCUCGCCUGUGAAGACCGCAUUUGUUGUUAAAGAGAAUAAACCAACAUGAAGACCAGAGCCAUCUAUGGGAGAUAAACAAGCUGAGAAAAGAGGGAAAAAUCAAUCAGAGCCAUUGCACGAGUAUUGGGCAUAGCCAAGAUAACAAUUUGGAAUGUCCUAAAAAAAAAAAAAAAAAAAGGAAAGAAACAAACCACUGGUGUACUGACAACCAGACAGGGAACAGCCAAGGAAAACAUUAGUUGAUGACAAACAUUGAAAGAGCUGUAAAGAAAAAUCCAAAAACCACAGUUAGUGACGUCAACAACCUUCACAGGGGAAAGGUAAAGGUAUCACAACCCCCCAUUUGAAGAAGACUCCGAGAGCAGAAAUAUAGAGCCCAUAUCACAAAAUGCAAACCACUCAUCAGCAGUAAGAAUCAGAAAGCCAGAUUGGAAUUCGCAAAGAAAUACAGAGAUGAGCCACAAAAGUUCUGAAACCAAGAUUGACCUCUACCAAAGUGAUGGAAAGGCCGAAGUGUGGAGAAAUUAUCUGCUCAUGAUCCAAAACAUAGAAGUUCACCAGUCAAGCAUGGUGGAGGUAGUGUCAUGGCCUGGACUUGCAUGGCUGCUUCUGGAACAGGCUCACUAAUCUUUAUUGAUAAAGUAACUCAUGAUGGUUGCAGCAGAAUGAAUUCAAAAGUUUGCCAGAACAUUGUCUUCCAAUUUACAGAGAAAUGCAUCCAAAUUAAUCAGGAGAAACUUUACCAUGCAGCAAGACAAUGAUCUAAAACACAAUAAAUUUAUAUUCCCCUAUUUAUUUGGUUAUGUAUGUGUGAGAUAACUAUCUAUCUAGAUAGAUAUAUUCUUUUACACAUAUAUUCUUUGCUUUUCCAGCAUAUCCUGCAUAUUUGACACCUUUCCAACAGCAGCUACAUGAUGUUCAGAUCCAUCUUUUCACUGAGGACAACCAAGGGACUCGUAGACAAAAUACUAACAAUUUACACCAAACAUCCUGUUCAAAGGUUUAAAUCCCCCUGGCUCUUAAUGUAUCAUGCUGCCUUCUUGAGCUUCAUUCUUAAAAUAUUAAUUUAAAAAACACAAUGCCAACUCAACAAAGGACUUCAUCAGGGGGAAAGUGGAAGGUUAUAGACUGGCCAAAUCAAUCACAAGACCUUAACCCAGUUGAACAGCAUUUCACCUCCUGAAGAGAAGACUGAAGGGUCUUGAAAAAGAUAGUCAUAAGUUGUAAAAGCACUAUUAUUAGAAAUAUCUCUCAUGCCAGGACCUGACCUCUUAGGCUUUUCCCGAUCGCACAAGCGUAACAGGACAAGUAUCAAGUAACAAGUCUUUAACCAGUUGGAAAAUAUCCUAUUAUCUUUAUUUGUGACUGCACUAAGAGAUUACAGAGUGUAAAGAGCUGCUUCUUGGAGCAGGCGUCACUUUGAGUAGAAACACACACAAACAUGUCACCGGGGCCAGCUCAGUCAUCAUGUUUGAGUUUUCUGAUUUUGCCCUUGUGACGGUCGAUCUCGCGCUGCAGGCGCUCAA